CCCUUAGAUGUUCUGGGCUGCACGCGCGCUACACUGGUCGAUGCAACGAGUUUCUUUCCUUGGCCGACAGGCCUGGGCAAUCUUUGAACAUCGAUCGUGAUCGGGAUAGAUUCUUGUAAUUUUUGAUCUUAAACGAGGAAUUCCUAGUAAACGCAAGUCAUCAGCUUGCAUUGAUUACGUCCCUGCCCUUUGUACACACCGCCCGUCGCACCUACCGAUUGAAUGGUCCGGUGAAAUCUCCGGACUGGCGUGAGUCGGAGCAAUCUGACAAACACCGGAAAGUUGAUUAAACCUUACCAUUUAGAGGAAGGUGAANUCGUAACA
rnacentral:rRNA from 1 species